UACGUAGGUGGCAAGCGUUGUCCGGAAUUAUUGGGCGUAAAGCGCGCGCAGGCGGUCUUUUAAGUCUGAUGUGAAAGCCCCCGGCUCAACCGGGGAGGGUCAUUGGAAACUGGGAGACUUGAGUGCAGAAGAGAAGAGUGGAAUUCCACGUGUAGCGGUGAAAUGCGUAGAGAUGUGGAGGAACACCAGUGGCGAAGGCGACUCUUUGGUCUGUAACUGACGCUGAGGCGCGAAAGCGUGGGGAGCAAACAGG
rnacentral:rRNA from 1 species